rnacentral:lncRNA from 10 species
AUCCAUCCCCGAGGGACCAGGAGGUUGCGGAAGGUGGGAGAGGGUGUGUGUAACAAAGGAGUGGGGGUCAUCAAGAAGAAGAGGAGGAGGGGGUGGCUUUCUGAUCUCAGGUGCUUUACCUGACGCAGCUCACAGCAUCCUCGCAAGGCAUCUCUCUCUGAUGCCCAUUAUCGCCAGUCCAGUAAACACCGAUGACUCCCAGAUCUACAGCUCCAGGCUGUUCCCUUCUCCGUGUCUCAUAUCAGCUUUGCCAACUGUUUAUUGGACAUCACCGCCUGAGUAUCCCUGAGGGACACGAUUAUCCUGUUUGGAGUGUAUUGAACUUCUUGGAUACAUCGAUUAGUGUCUUUCCUCAAGUUUGAGUAAUUUGCAGUCAUUUUUCCUUUGAAAAUUCUUUCUUCUCUAUUCUGUUUCUCUCCUUGUUGAACCCCCAUCAUGCAUAGGUGUGCUCUGUUCAUUUUUCACAUUACUUUUAUUUUUCUGCUCCUCGGACUGAAUAAUCUCAAUUGACCUAUUUUAAGUUCACUGAUUCUUUUGCCUGCCCAAACCUACUGUUGUACCCCUCUAGUGACUUUUAGUUAUUGUACUUUUCAAAUAAAGAAUUUCUAUUUAUUUUAUAAUUUCUACAUCUCUUUGUAUUUUUACAUCUUUACUGAUAUUGUGUAUUUGCUGAGACAUUCUUCUCUUUUUCUUUAGUCCUUUGUUUACGAUUUCCUUUAGUUCUUCGAGCAUAUAUAAG